UGCUUACACAUGCAAGUCGAACGGUAACAGGCCCAGCUUGCUGGGUGCUGACGAGUGGCGGACGGGUGAGUAACGCGUAGGAAUCUACCUUAUAGUGGGGGAUAACUUGGGGAAACCCAAGCUAAUACCGCAUAAUCCUUAAGGGGGAAAGCGGGGGAUCUUCGGACCUCGUGCUAUUAGAUGAGCCUGCGUCGGAUUAGCUUGUUGGUGGGGUAAAGGCCUACCAAGGCGACGAACCGUAGCUGGUCUGAGAGGACGAUCAGCCACACUGGGACUGAGACACGGCCCAAACUAAUGCGGGAGGCAGCAGUGGGGAAUAUUGGACAAUGGGCGCAAGCCUGAUCCAGCAAUACCGCGUGUGUGAAGAAGGCCUGCGGGUUGUAAAGCACUUUCAGUAGGGAGGAAGGGUUUAAGUUUAAUAAGCUUGAGCAUUGACGUUACCUACAGAAGAAGCACCGGCUAACUCUGUGCCAGCAGCCGCGGUAAUAC
rnacentral:rRNA from 1 species